rnacentral:lncRNA from 1 species
GACUGAUGUCAUGUUGGUAUGACUCGGUUGUGCUCGGUUGGUUCUCAUUCUGAAAACAUGACGCAUAAGACGAGUCUAAUUUCCAAUAUCUCACUUCCACCUGGAAAUCAACGUCAAUACCAGUUUCUAUGUCUACAUCAUGUCAUAUAAAAUGACGUCUGAAGAUUACCAAAAUGAAAAAGUAACUAACCACGUAGUACAUCAGUCAGCAAGGAAAUGAUUGAACUCAAUCGUCACCGUGGAAAAGUUUAUCAGGGUGGAAUGAAUGAAAUGAAUAUCGCAACCCAAGCCGAGUGCCAGAACCGAUAUUUCGAUGGUAUUAACUGACAGUCCCUUGAAGUGGAUUUGAGUGGUAACCGUUCCAACUAGGAUCCACUUUAUAAGUCACCACUGAAGCAACUAGAAGAAUAAGCACCAAAGACCUCAAUGGUUCGGAAAGCAGUUUAAUCCGUACAACUAAAAAUGGAUCAAUGGUCAAGUGAACCCUUUUUGUUCAUUAGUCUUAUCACCGACUAAAUUUCUUCAGACAUCGGAAGGAUCUACUAUACUUAGCAGGACUACAGAGUUUAUUCCCCAAUCCAUUAACCGAAGAACAAUAAAAUACUUCUAUAAGCCCGUGACAAAAUCAUUGAUGUAAUUAAUUAGUUUUUUAACUCCUUAGAAUAAGAGAACCGGAAUUCAUUAAAUUACAGAAGAAAUUCAUUGAAAACAUUCACAAUAUCACUGAAGAAAUUUAUUGGAAUCUUUGACUGGACAACCAAGAAGAGUGGGAUAGCAAGAUACUCUUCAAGCCUUCAAAAGGACCACUGAGAAAAUUCGUUGGAAUAAAAAUAAAUAACUAAGUGGUUGCUAUAACUCGGGAGGACGUUCUUGAAAAAUUCGUUGAGAGCGUUGACAGGACCAAAUAAUUCGUUGGGAAUCCUGGCAGGACCAUCCUGAUAUAUCUGUGAAGAAGUAUGUUGGAAUCAUUGACUGGACAACCGAGAAGAAUCAUACGCUUUGGGCUGGAGUACGAACGCCACACUUAAUUAUUUGUCAGGAUCAUCGAGAUAGGAUAACAAGAUACUCUUCAAGCCUUGAAGAGGACCAUUAAGAAAAUUCGUUGGAAUCCUUCAAAUAACUAAGUGGUUGCGACAACUGGAAAGAACCUUCUUAAAGAAUUCGUUGGAGCGUUGGUAGGACCAGAAAAUUCGUUGGGAAUCCUGGCAGGACCAUCCAUCUAGGAGAUUGGUUGAAGCAAUUGCAACUACCACCAUGGAUCGGAAAUUAUAUAAAGUAGAUCAGCAUAAUAAAAGAAUGAAGAGCUCAUAAGAUCACAGAAGAAAUUCAUUGAAAACAUUGGCAAUAUCACUUGAGAAGUUUAUUGCAAUCUUUGACUGGACAACCGAGAAGAGAUAACAAGAUACUCUUCACGCCUUCAAAAGGAACACUGAGAAAAUUCGUUGGAGCGUUGGAAAGAUCUGAUGAUUUUUUGGAAAUCCUGGCAGGAUCAUCCAUCCAGCAGAUUCUUUAAAAUGGACCAGCAUGAAGGAAAUGAUGGAGAGAUUUGAUUAUUUAUGUGUCGAAUGGGGUUCAUUUUGGAAUUAAGUAAAAAGAUAUGGAAUGGAAAUGGAAUUAUUUGAAAUAGAAUUGGAUAAAGAAAUGGAAUUUAUUUGAUUAUGGAAUUAAAUAAAGGAUAGACUUAACUGUUUAGGGAAUGGAAUUAAUUAAAUAAGGAAUAUGGAGGAUAUGUCGAAUGAGUUAAGAGGGAGGUUGUACUGUGUUGUGUUAUGUAAUGUAAUUGAAAUGUAUUAUUUAGAUGUACUAAUAUUUAUUUAUGUUACACAUUUACCACUUUAAAUGUAAGUUUAUGUGAGUAUAUAAAUUGUUUAAAAAAAA